rnacentral:SRP_RNA from 1 species
UUUGGGUGUAGUAGCACGUGCCUGUAGUCCCAGCUACUCAGGAGGCUGAGGUGGGAGGAUCACUUGAACCCAGGAGUUCCGGGCUGUAGUGUGCUAUGCUGAUCAGGUGUCUGCAUGAAGGUCAGCAUCAAUAUGGUGAGCUCCCGGGAGCAUGGGACCACCAGGUUGCCUAAGGAGGGGUGAACUGGCCCAGGUUGGAAAUGGAGAAGGUCAAAAUUCCUGUGCUGAUCAGUAGUGGGAUUGCACCUGUGAAUAGCCACUGCACUCUAGCCUAGGCUACAAAGCGAGAACCAACUCA